rnacentral:lncRNA from 7 species
AUUAUUCUCUAUCAACUACAGUUACCGUGGAGGAGUUGAUAGUGAAGGUUGUCCAGUUAUUUGUCGUUGUCAGUGCUCACUUUUCUUCUUCGCUGCUUAAUUCUUGAGUUAUUUGGUCUAUAUGUAGCAAAUGUGUUUGAAUCUUAACUGUCAGUGGACAUAAUUAGAAAUUUUCAAUAAGAAGAGUAUCGAUUUUAGUUGAUUCCUAUAUGUAAUCGUGUAGAUACCCUUAAUAACCAUGCAGUUCCUGAGCCUGCUCAGUCAUCCCUGUUCUCUCUUGACACACGUGAAUAUCCUAAUAUUAUUGUUGUUCUUGUUCUGUCCUGGCAAAAAUACUUGAUGCAUUUGUCUAUGGUAUUUUCUUUUUAUAAAGUGAAUCAUCUUGACAAUGAAAUAGUGCAUUUAUCAGUUUUGUAAUGGGACAUCACUCCUCAAGUAUUCAGAAGGUAAACUAGAUGUAUUUCUCAUACAUCAAUUGGGCAAGUUUGAGAGAUAGCUGCCCCAAUUUGUCCAGAAAUUUAUUUACAUGUACCUCCAUAAGUAAAAUAUUUAUUUAGCCCUCUGUCUUUGUUUUUUCCAUAUUCUAAGUUUAUACCUGAUAACACAUUUGCAUAUACUUGAUGCAUUUGUCUAUGGUAUUUUCUUUUUAUAAAGUGAAUCAUCUCGACAAUGAAAUAGUGCAUUUAUCAGUUUUGUAAUGGGACAUCACUCCUCAAGUAUCCAGAAGGUAAACUAGAUGUAUUCUGAUACAUCAAUUAGGCAAGUUUGAGAGAUAGCUGCCCCAAUUUGUCCAGAAAUUUAUUUACCUGUACCUCCACAAGUAAAAUAUUUAUUUAGCCCUCUGUCUUUGUUUUUUCCAUAUUCUAAGUUUAUACCCGAUGUAUAAAUCUACAGAUACUUUCUUACCUUUGUUUAGUUACGAUAAACUUUAUUCAUCAAUUAUUUUGUAUACUUUUCUAACCUAUGUAAAUUUAGAGGUUAAUUUGGACUGUUUAAUAUUUAAAUGUUGUGGGUGGAUAAUAUAGAUAUGGAUCUAGGGGUUAUUUAGUGUUUUAAGUACCAACAGAGGAGGGAAAUUCAUGCACAUACUUUAGCUUUUUAUUGCAAUGAUAGAUAAUUUAUAUGAAGUUUAGGACUUAUUUUGGAUAUAAUAUGUCAGAAUGACAGAGGUGAAUCUCUAGAUAUAGGUUCAGGAGGGGGUUAAUUGAAGCCAUUUUUGUAAUGAAUGUGGUGGGUAUCUUUUUAAACCAAAAAAAUGGAUUUGAUGGCUAUGGUCUUCUAUGAGGAUUACUGGAUUAGAGUGUACAGCUGCAUUGAUUGCUACCAAAGUAGUAUCUAAUCUAAUUAGUAAAAUGACGUAUCUCUUUUUUUCUGACACGCUUGCGACACUGAGGCCGACUCAAAUAUCUCAUUAAACAACAUGUGCAUGUCUACGUUUAUGUGUAAUGCUCAUGUCGACUGCACAUAGGCGUUUCUUAGCUUGAUCUGAUGGUGAUCAAUUGAAAAUUGUUGUUGUAGAUUUUCCUGGAGAUCGAAUUGUCCUUUUGUGAUCCUAGGUUUGAUACAGUGCUGCAAUUUUCUGCUCUCCCACCGUAAGAACACAAGAUGUGGAUAGAGAAUUGUUGAUAGUCUUGGUGUUGGUUGGACUUACUUUUAGUGUCCCUAUAGUGAAUUACUUUCGUGUCUUCAUAGUCAAUUCAAAGCUCCUUACAGACACCUCAUGUUUCACAGUGUACCACAUUUGCAGGUACAUAAUGCGCUCGACCACAUUAAUUUUGUCGUUAAGAGUCAAACGAUGGUUUGUGUUCACAACUGAAACCAUUGGAUUUUGUUUUUGACAUCCUCAAGGAGGAAUUAACCGAGAGCUUGCUGCCGCAAAGAAGGUUGCUUUGCUACUUCUAUGAAUCUUCGGACUUAAGUUCAUACAAGUUCAAAAAUAAGGACUUAAGUUCAUACCACAUCUUUUUCUGGAUGUGCACUGGCAAUUCUGGCAGAUUUCUCACAUCUGAGAUCGGGAGAAGAAAGCAUUUUCAAGGAGAAUAGCCGAUCUGUUGAUGUGCUUGGCCUUAAGACUGCUUUUGCAACCUUCAUGGGUAAGGCAAGUAACCUUCCUCCUUUGCCUCUCUGAUGCUAUGUGUUAUGUAAUAAUGGCCUAACCCCAUCGGUCGCUUAGUAAGUUGUCUUGUCUGUUAUUAACUUACAUUAAAAUUCUGCCACAAAUUCCCAUCAACAAGAAAAACAAGAAAGAUAGCUACUAGGAGAAGCUUUAAUACGCUCGAUACCUGGCAUGAUGAGUUCCUCAAUCAAGUAAGCCACAUCUCCCACGAGCAUGUAUCUUUCUGGAUGUCUGGUUACAAUAGCAGCUACUCAUGUGGUUGAGAAUAAAAUACAAAAGAUAAAGAUAAAUAUUCAGAUGAUCGUCAGUAUAGUCUCAUCCACGACAAGUUCAUUAUGAUUUACAUAGACUUCAUUUUUACAC